rnacentral:lncRNA from 1 species
AGAGGAGAAGAGAGAAAAACGUAGGUUUUUCUCAUCAUGCCCAGAUUUCAUCAAAUGUCCGAUCCCGCUUCGUCCGUGGUCCGAUCGAGUUGAAAUUUGAAGGAGAGGUUCGUGGCUCAUGUAUCUUCAAUAUGAACGGUGGAGAUCAGAUUUGGAGUUUCGGACAGUCAUUAGAGAGAAAGAGGAGAAGAGAGAAAAACGUAGGUUUUUCUCAUCAUGCCCAGAUUUCAUCAAAUGUCCGAUCCCACUUUGUCCGUGGUCCGAUCGAGUUGAAAUUUGAAGGAGAGGUUCGUGGCUCAUGUAUCUUCAAUAUGAACGGUGGAGAUUGGAUUUGGAGUUUCGGACAGUCAUUAGAGGGAAAGAGGAGAAGAGAGAAAAAUAGUGGUUUUUUACAUCAUGCCCAGAUUUCAUCAAAGGUCCGAUGCCGCUUUUUUCAUGGUCUGAUUGAGCUGAAAUUUGGAGGAGAGGUUUAUAAGUCAUUAAUAUUAAAUUUGAACGGUGAAGAUCGGAUUUAGAGUUUUGGAAAGUCAUCUUUCAGCCAAAAACAAAACAUUUAUUUUAUCAAAGAUGGCGUUUCCUGAAAGUGUCAUUGUUGCCUAAGACAUACAAUGACAGAGGCGAAGAGAACGCUUUAGAGAAGCGUCAUCUGUUACCUUUCUUGACGCUUAAAAAACGUCAUUGUUUCCCAUUUUUCUUGUAGUUUAAGGUACUAAAAUACAAAAAUUUUGAUCAAAGUACAAGAAUGCUACUGAAAUAUGAGAAAUAUGACUAUUUGAAAAAUAUGAACAUGGUAUGAAUAAUGUAACUAGAAUAUAUAUGAAGAAUGCUAUCAAAGUACAAUAAACAUGACCAAAGUACUAAGAUAUAAAAUUUAUGAUUUAGAUAUUAAAAUUGUAAUUAUGGUACAAAAAGUAUAAGUAGGAUAUGAGGAUUGUGAUCGAGAUACAAAAAUGAUAUUAAGAUAUGAAAAAUAUAGCCAAAAUACUAAAAUAUGAAAACUAUGAGCUAGAUGUGAAGAAUAUAACUAAGUCAUAGGAAAUGUGAUUAAAAUACCAAGAAUAUGAGUAUCAAAAAUGUAAUUGGGAUGUGAAAAAUGUCUCAAUGCCUAUACAUUAAAUAAAAGAAAUAAUUAUGUAAAAUAGCAUAAAAUAAAUAAAUAAGAAAACACUACAUCAAGAGAAUGGGAUCUCCAAUGUAUUUUUUAUCUUCUUCACCACACAAAGGAAAUUCAGCUUAACAUAACUAAUUACAAAAUUAUAGAAUAUAAAUGAGAUUAAUUAAUUUUUAAUCUUCUUUAUUAUCUUUAAUUACUAAUCAAGUUCCCAAUUUGCAUUUAAAAAAUAUCUUAAUGACCAAAUAAAGAAGAGUUUAAAAAUUUUUGUUUUUAUGCAACACAUGUCUUGUGGUUGCAUUCCUCUCUUUCAAUAAGUUUUAUUUUAUUUAAUUUUUUUUAUUUUUAUUACCUUUCAAUAUACAUGAGAUAAGAUAUUAUUGGUGAAAGUACAUACGAUAUUAAAGAAUCACGCAUUGAUACCAAAGUUUGACCUCAACAUUGACUCAUUGUGGUAUGUAUAUUUAUAGUGCAAUCGGAAGCAGUGAUUUUUGUGAAUUGAUAUAAAACAAACCGGAUAAAAGAGAUUUUCCAAAGUUUGAUUAUCACAAGUGACUAAUUUAGAGAUACAAGUAGUCGAAUUCAGUAGAACUAACUAACUAAUCUCCAUCCUCUUACAGCUCCAAUUCCUACCAAACAUGGAACUUGUGGUGGGGCCAGAGCCCCUUUCAAUUAUUGAAUGAUCUCAUUCAAUUCUGACAGCACAACAAGCUCCACAUUCCAAACCCUCGCCAACACCUUUCCUCGAAACGAUAUAAGCAACUACAUGACUUGUAAACAAAUACCUACUUUCUAUCUUUAUAACGUGUUACUCCACAUUUCCACAAAACCUCAAGCCCUAUAUCCAUGGAGAGAAGGAAAUCCAGAGUCAGCCUCGACCCUUUAGCCACGGUGAAAGCGGCUGCAUGGGCUUGGUAUCAGCGUGGAUCAGGGUCUGAAGGCAAACCCAUAAGCGAGUUCCAGGUCACCAGGGCUCGUCCUGCUCCCAUACCCUCACGGUACAAGCUAGAAGCCAUGAGAAUGGCUGAAGAAGGUCCAGAGAAGGAGGGCUCAAGCGCAAGUUCCGCUACCUCUACUCCAAAUCUUAGCCAUACUUCUCUUCUUGAUACGUACGAAAUAGAAAGAAUCUCUCAGCAGCUUGAUAUUCUCAUAGAAACAAGCGGCAAAGGCAUCAGAACUGGCACCAACUUGUACAAAGGAAGCGGCACAAAUUCGAGGAAGGAGAAGAAGAAAUUGAAAGGGUUUUGGGCAAGGCAUGCGAUUGUGUGUGGCACAGAGGACGAUGUGUUGGAGACAAUAAGAGUUUCGGGGGGCGAUCGGAAGAGCAGGUGGCAGUGAUUAAGGCGGGGAGUUGCAGUUCACGAGGUGCCCAUGCCUGAGUGAAUUGGACCAUGUUGCAUUUUCGGUUGGGUCGUUGGCAAUUUAUUAAAUUUGCCACAUCUGCAGGACUAUGUAGUUUAGGGUGGAUUCCAAUUAUAGACCACAUUGAUCAUGCUGUGUCCCGGGUUUCUUUCUUCACGCGUACAAUGCUGCAAACCUCUGAUUUGUACACAUCCGCAUUGGUUUGUUGGGUCAAGGAAAUAAAGCAAUAAAAUAUAGUUUCAUUCAAUAAUUUUCCCUGAUUAUUUUUAUUUUCAUUUACUUUUUGGUGUUCAAUAUUUGCUACAUUAGGAAAAGUUUUGUAGGUUUCGUGAAGAAGUUGCAAUGUUACUUUCAAUCAAGGACUUUAUCAGGUGUUAUUCCAAAUACACAAAUACACAUCGGUUAUGAAUAUGUUUGGAAUUAUAAACAGGAAAAGGAAAUGGAAAAUUCAUUUGAUUUUCUAUUCAUUAUUACUACUUAUGAAUUCAUUUGAUGCAGAUCCUUUUCCUUUCUUUUUUUUCUUUCCUUCAGGGUUUUAGAUUUCUAAAGUAGUUCUGAAAAGAGUAGUCCUCGCCAAUUUGUUCAACAACCUGUAAUCUACAAAGCAUUAAAACUAUGAAAGACUAAAGAAUUUACAUAUGUAUAUAUAAGUAGAAUAUUGAUGGAGAAGUUUGUAUUUUUGUGAAAUAUAUCGAGUAAGCCACAUUAAAUGUCAUGUCACUUCUUAUAUGCUUUCUGAUAAAUAUAUUGUGUGGACUAGACCCUCCGGCCACUAACAUGGUACUAGUGGAGCAACAUUGAAUAGGGUCUCAUGCGAGAAAAGGACUUGUGUCUGUAUUGUCUUCUUUUGUGAUUAUCUGCUCGAAGCAUCACCAAAUGGGAUCUUCUGGUCUAUUAGAUGAUGAGUAAAAUUAUGUUCAACUGCUCAUAUUUUUUAUGACCUUCUUUUCUACUUGUAAAACAAUUUGAAAUAUGAUUUUUAAGCAGUUACAAUUUCUCAUAGUUAGAUGUGUUGUGCAUAUAUAGGAUUACCUGGAGCCUGGAGGCAACAUUGAAUGGCCUAUUAUAAGGAAGGUGCUGGUGACUGACGUUUUGGGGUACUACGUGCUCCAAGGACGGCCAAGUGGAAUGUAAAGGCCAUUUUGGACCACCGCUAGUGGAGUUCGAUCUUUGUCCACCACCAAAAUUGAGUGAAAUUCCAUCUUAAGUCAUAUUGUUGACUCGCAUAUUUCUCUUAUCAUUAAUUUUAUAUCUCAAUCAUGUUGGAAAUUCUGUUUUACUCUUUUACCCGAUCGCAAGUGAAAUUUAAUCUAAAAUGAGUUGAAUUUAAUUUAAUUUAAUUACCCUUCCAUCAUUUAUUUUUAAUUGUUAAAUAAUUUGAAAUUUUAUUUUGAUGGAUGUUACUUUUAUAUUGUUUUUUGCCACCUCUCUUAUAAUAAAAUUAUAUUUGAUUCGCAAAAGAUAAGAUUAUAUAAAAUAAAAUAAAAUAAAAUAAAAAGUGAGCCAACAUAGUUUGAUUGAGAAUGUGGGAAGAAAAGUUUAGCUUUGGUAAGAUAAGUGAGUCACCUCUCCUAUCUAAUUUCAUUGCCGAGAUAUAAGCAGAAAGGAUUUUAAAUUCAUUUUUUUUUCAUUAAUUCUUUCUCUAUAUAUUUUAUUAAAUUAAAACUUUUUGUUUGGAAAAAGAAAAAUUAAAAUUAAAAAUAUUUAUAUAUAGAAUAUAUUUUAAAAUAAUAUUAAUAUAUAGUGUUAUUUAAUGUAAUAUAUAAUAUGUUUUUCUAUAUUUAGUAUAUAAUUUAAUUAAUGUACAUUAUUUAAUCACAUGUUUUUAUUUUUUAUUUAUAAAAUUGUAGAUAUUUUAAUUAUUGACACAACUAAAAUAUUAACUAAUUACAAGUCAUGGGUUGCAUCAGGAGUUGCACAAAUUAUACAAGUCAUGGAAUUUUUGUACGAUGAUAAAUUAUUAACAGUCGAUUCAUGGAUUUGGGUAAUCUAUUAAAGGUUGUAGUGCAAUACCUCUUAAUUGGAUAAGUUGAUUGUCCUGGUUGUCAGGAUGAGUUUCUCAUAGUGAGUGUAUUAGUAUGUAUGGUUACACAUAAUCAUAAUGUAAGAUUAUCAAUUGUCAUGAUUCACUAAGCUAAUAUAUUGCAUGGACUCUCCAAAUGCUUGUGUACUAGAACUGACAAAAAUAGUAGGUUCAGGAACCUUUGGAUACAUAGUCCUUUGUGCUUAUGUGGUAGUGUCUUCAAGUGUUUUCCAAUCUAUAUCAUGUUUUGUCCUACUACUCAUAUAGUCUUCUUCCAAAAAUAUGACAUUUAUACUAACAAGUACCUUUUAGUCAAUCUAACUAUAAAAGUAAUGCCCUAUUGUUCCUUUUGGAUAGCCUACAAACUGACAUACCUCAAACCUUACUCCCAACUUGUCUACCUUUGGCUUCAGCACAUGUGUUGGACACCCCCCCCCCCCCCCCAAAAUUUGAAUGUCGCUAUGAACACUAAAUUACUCUGUUUCUUGAAGGAUGCAUGCAUCUAUCCUAAGAUUCUCUAAAUCUAACGUAGCAAAAAAUAAUGAUUUCAAAAACCAUAUAACAUAUCAGAUUUAGACAUUAAAAUUUCACACCUAUGAUUUGGAUUUUCCUAAAUUGAUUUGCAUCCAAUGAAAACUCUAAAACCACGAUGGUUGUUGUAGAACUCAUCUACCCGACGAUCUUCCACCUGAUCUCUCCAUGGGUCUUGGCAUAAUAGUAACCCAAUCCAUAGGGAGUAUAUGACCAAUUUAAGGUCUUAGCCAUAGGUUAAAGUCUCUUAUUGAUUUCAACACAAGCUUAAUAUUCUCUCAAGGUUGAGAGUUCAUGCAACAUAGUAGAUUGGUAAAACAUGACAAUUUGAUAGCCUUAUGUCAUGAUUCAAUGUAGGUCCUGUCCAAUUUAUAACCAUACACACUAGUGCACUCAACAUGGGAAACCCAUCUUGACAGUCAAAACAAGUCAUUCCUCUAAUUAGAAGGUAGUGCACUAUAAUCUCUACUGGAUUGCCUAGAUCCAUGAAUUAAUUGUGAACAACUUAUCAUCUUACAAGGAACCCAUGACUUAUAUCCUCUAUAUAACUCCUAGUGUACCCAAGUCAUGUACAAUGCAAGUAAUAUGAGUUGAAUGCUCAAAUCAAUGUUAGUGCAUAAAAAUGAUAGCAAGAGGAUAGUGAAUUUUAACUUCAUUACAUCAUGGCUUGCUUUUAGGGGCUCAAUCCCAACUAAUAUGUUGCAAACUGGGUUUAGGACCUUCCCACAUCUCUAUGAGAGUUAAAGGUAACAACUUGGAAGACACUAGGUUGAGAAAGUAAGCCAUAGUAUCCAAGCUAUAUCCCCAAAAAGAUACAAGAAUUGGUAAGAAGCUCAUCAUAGAUCUCACCAUGUCCAUCAAUGUUUGAUUUCUUAUUUCUGGUACUCCAUUUUGUUGUGGAGCUCCAAGUGCACUCAAUGGGGAUAUAAUAUAAUGCUCCUUAAUAAAAGAAUUGAACUAGGAAUACAUGUACUCACCACCUCGAUCAGUUCAAAGUGCCUUAACAUGUUUACCCAACUCAUUUUUUAUUCCACCUUGAAUUCUAUGAAUUUGUCCAAGGCUUCGGACUUCCUAUGCAUUAGGUAAAUAAACAUGAACCUUGAGUAAUCAUUCGUAAACAUGAUGAAAUACUCAUACCUUCCUUGUGCAUUGACAUUAAAAUGCCCACACACGUUAGUAUAUACCAACUCUAAACACUCUUUAGCUCUAUAUCCUUCAGUAGUAAAAGGCAUCUAGGUCAUUUUACCUUCUAUACAGGAUUCAUAGAUUGGAAGAUCUUUUGGAAUCAAAGGUGCAAUAUUCCAAAGUUAACUAGUCUUUGGAUCCUAUUUAGAUUAAUAUGACCUAUGCACAAGUGCCAAAAUUAUGUUUGAUUAAUGCUAAGAUUUUUUAUUUAAAGUGUGACAUGAUAAUUCUCAUUACUUGGCAAAAUAGAUAAUGGUGAUAUAUUAUAAAGAUUAUCUAUCAAUGAUCCUAAGCAUAUAAACAAAUUAUUCAAUUUAAUAAAAACCUAUUUAUUAUAAAUAAAAAAUAAAAAAAGAACCACUAAAUAAUUCAAUUUACAUAAGAGAAACUAAAAUCAAAUUCUUCAUAAACUCAAGAACAUAAAAGCAAUCUUUUAAUUCUAGAAGAUAACAAUCAUCUAAGAUAAGGGUAACGUCUCUCACUACUUGCACGUCAAUCGUCACUUUAGAAGCUAAUUUCUGGUACAUGUCCCCAUCAUUCAAGCUUCCCCCUUAGUUGAAACCCCUAUAAAGAAUUACAAACAUGGUCAAUGGCCCCAAAAUCUAUCCACCAAGAAUUAGUAGAAUCCAACAUUAAACAUGAUUCAAUUAAAAGUGAAUGAUGCAUACCUAACUAUAUCUUUAGGAAAAUGUGGCACUCAUUUUUUGAAUGACAUUUCUUACCAUAAAAGAAGCACUUGCCUUGACCCCUUACUCUUCUUCUUUUUUUCCCUUGCUCUUAAACUUUCCCUUUUACUUAAUGAUCUUAAAAGGGUUCUUCUUUUUCUUGUUAAAAGAACCUAAAGAACCCUUAAUUUCCAUAUGAAUGCCCCUCUAGUCUUUGAGAACCCCCUCAGCCAUUUAGAGUUCUCUUAUCAAUUAAAUUAAGCUUACCACCAACUUAUCCAUAUAAUAGUUGAGCUUCAACUACCUAAAAGAAUUUGAUAAGAUCUAUAAAACCAUGUCAACUUAGGUUUCUCAAUCAAUCUUAGCUCCAAGGAUCUUUAUCUUGUUAAAGAGUUUGAUCAUAUGAAUUAUAUGAUAUCUAAUAGGAGUUCCUUCUAACAUCUUAGCAUUCAUAAUAGUUCAAAGCAACAUGUUUAGCUAACCUACCCUUACCACCAAACAUCUCAUGGAGACUAAGAAUAAUAUCAUAAGCUAUUAGCAUAGACACAUGUUAAUGUUGUAGCAUGUUUUCUAAGGACCCAAUUAUGAUACAUUUGGUCUUUUGAUCCACCUUCUCCCUACUAUGAUAAUUAUCCUUCUCCUCUUAAGUGGAAUGUUCAUUCUAGGGAGAUGAAGCAAAUUCCUAAGUCACCCACUUUAGCUCCUCUAAAGUAAGUGUUGUAUCCAGAUUCCUUUUCCAAUCCACGUAGUAAGAAGAUGGACCAAAUUCCUAACUUAGCCACUUUAGCUCCUCUAAAGUGAGUGUUGUGUUUGAAUUUCUUUUCCAAUCCACAUAGUUUGGAUUAUGCAAUUUAUUAGUAGUGAGUAUGAGAUUAAGCGGAUUAUAUGACAUGAUAUUUAUAAUAAAAACAAAAACAAUGCAUUAAUAAAAUGAGCAUACAUAUCAAGGAUAAAUUUAGAAAAAAUGUAGAAUUCUUAAGGCUACAUUUCCAUUUGCAAGGUAUCUUAGUAUCAUAAAAAUCAAACCUACAUAAGAUAGGUCAUAACCUUAUUAUUGGUUAGAAAUAAGAAUGAAAAAUUUGGGAUAUAUCAUCCAUAUAUUGUGUAUAAAGAGCCAUGGAAGCAAUAUUUCAAGGUGAUAUAUUAAGGAGGAGAAAUAUCGGGAAAAAAAUCGCCAAAUACUACUGAUAUAUCAACAAUAUAUCAUCGAUUGGUAAUAAAUCUCUAACUUAUGGAAUUAAUCGGCUAACGUUCCAAUAUAUCGUCGAUAUAUCAACAAUUUAUAAACAAAAAAUCAUUGAUUUUUAUGGAUAAAUUGACACAUAGGGAAGGCAUGAUCUGAUGGCCUAGAUCAUGCCCAUGUUGCAAUAGUCAUCUACCUCUUUAUUUGAUGGCCCACUAAGAGGUGAUCCAAUGACUGGGAAGGAAUCCCAACGACUAUUUGAUGAUCCAAUGGUUAGAUUUCGCUCAAAUUUCGAUCCAACAGCCAGAAUUGUUUUCAAACGUUAAAAUGACAUUCCAAUAGCUAUUUUGGCCCAAUUUUUUCUACAAUAGCUCAUUUUUCCUUUUUCAUACUUCAAUUGAUCUCUUAUUGCUCAUAAUAUUUUUGUUAUUAUUCUCAAAUUCUAAUAAAUUUGGGAAUUUAUAAGUCAAGUUUGUGGAUUAACUCUGAAUUCCAAACAAAGGUUGCUCAUUUAUUGUAAGGUAUGUUUGUUUUAAAUUUUAAUUAUUUUGUAUUAAAGUGUAAUUAAUUAGUAGAUUUUUAAUUAAUUAGUAUAUUUUCAAUAGAUUUAGUAAAUUAACUUAGCUUAGUUAUAUAUUUGAUUCAUAUAAUUAGUAGAUUUGCAAUAAGUUAAUUUUAAAUUAAUUAUUUUAUUUUAUUUUUAUAUUGAAUUGUAAUUAAUUAGUAGAUUUUCAAUGAAUUAGUAUAUUUUCAAUAGAUUUAGCAAAUUAACUUGGCUUAGUUAUAUAUUUUUUUCACAUAAUUAGUAGAUUUGCAAUAAGUUAAUUUUAAAUUAAUUAUUUAAUAUUAUUUUUAUAUGCAAUUGUAAUUAAUUACUAGAUUUUCAAUAGAUUUACUAUAUUUUCAAUAUAUUUAGUAAAUUAACUUAGCAUAGUUUUAUAUUUGAUUCACAUAAUUAGUAGAUUUGCAAUAAGUUGGUUUUAAAAUAAUUAUUUAAUUUUAUUUUUAUAUUCAGUUGUAAUUAAUUAAUAGAUUUACUGUAUUUUCAAUAUAUUUAGUAAAUUAACUUAGCAUAGUUUUAUAUUUAAUUUAUAUAAUUAGUAGAUUUGCAACAGGUUGAUUUUAAAUGAAUUAUUUAAUUUUAUUUUUAUAUUCAAUUGUAAUUAAUUAGUAGAUUUUCAAUAGAUUUACUAUAUUUUCAACACAUUUAGUAAAUUAACUUAGCAUAGUUUUAUAUUUGAUUCACAUAAUUAGUAGAUUUGCUAUAAGUUGAUUUUAAAUUAAUUAUUUAAUUUUAUUUUUAUAUUCAAUUGUAAUUAAUUAGUAGAUUUUCAAUGGAUUUAAUAAAUUAACUUAGCAUAGUUAUAUAUUUGAUUCAUAUAAUUAAUAGUUUUGCAAUAAGUUAAUGAAAUUAAUGAUUUAAUUUUAAUAUUUUGUAUCAUUACUAGACAUUGAACUUAAAUUACUUCAAUUUCAUGUUAUGCAUACUUCCAAUUGAAUAGAAUGGCCAAUGCAAGUGGAAGUGAAAAUGGAGGUGGUGGGAGUGGCAUGGCAGGGUGAAAUCCAACUUAGAAGCAUUGUUCAUCGGUGAAGAGAAAUAAAAAUGGGACAAUUUGUAAUUAUUGUGGAUUGUUGAUGAAGAGUGGAUGCAUCACUUGAUUAAAAAGUUCAUUUAGCGCAUAGAGACUCCCACAACAACACCAUAAAGUUUCCUAGAGUGCCUCCUAAAGUGAAAGAAGAGAUAUGAAAGAUGUUGCAUCAAAAAGCUAAAGCAAAAGCAAAGAAAGUUGCAUAAUAAGACUAAUGUUUACCCUCCUUAUGUGAUGGGUUAUGGUCAACCUUCAAGUUCAACCGAUGAAGAUUAUGGUAUGCCUAGCUAUUCUCCUUCUGCACAAAUAUCAUACCACAUUCCAUAUCAGAUGUAAGGAGGAUUUGACACAAGCACAUGGGUGAACCUCAAGUAUCCCAUCCAUAGAGAGAUAGUGGGCAAGAUUCAACAGAUUUGUGCAUGGCAUGUUCGAAUUUUUAAUCAAUACUAUUGAGGCUCAGUGAGUUAGUACCAAUAUUGUCUCCAACAACAAGACAAGGUUCCUUCAUCUACCAAUUCCAUUAAACCACAUCGAUCACCAUUUUGAUACUAAAUAGUCAUUACAAUGUAUAGGUAAUCACUCAGUCACUGAAUAUGCUCAAUGUUUACAAAACUUAUAGCAAGAAUUGGACCAUUAUCAGUGUAUUGAGAUGAAGUGUAGCAAAGAUCCAACCCUUUUUAAACGUUUUAUGGAAAAAGAGAGGAUUUACCCCUUUAUUGUUAGAUUGAAUAUUGAGUUUGAUCUUGUUCGAGUGCGACUGUUAGGAAAGGAAGAGUCUCUUUACUCAAUGAAACAAUUGCCAUAAUUCAUGAAAAAAAAAAAGAUAAAAAGGGUUAUAUUAGAGCCUCAAUCAACUGAUGGUUCAACCUUGGUUACAAAAGAUGGAAGUCUUAGAGCUGUAAAAUUAAACUAGUAGUAGUUAAAUGCCUAUUCUAACGGAGAAAGAGGAAAUAAUGGGCAAUCAGAAGUGAGAAAAACACCCAAGAGGGGGUGAAUUGGGUUUUAAAAAAAACUUUUUGAACACAACAAAUUUAAGCACAAAAGAAGCAAAUAUAAAGAGAUAGAGUUAGAGAAAUCAAACUCAGAUUUUAUAAUGGUUCGACACUUGCUUGCCUACACCCACUCUCCUCAAGCUCCUAACCGAGUGAGGGUUCCACUAACUUGAAGCUUCAACCAAGCUUCUAAUCACCUUUACACUUGGAUUCUGGCUCCAAUGGCCUUUUACACCAUCUCUUCAAGUUUCAACUCACUUGAAAGGUUUAACACUCAAUUAACAGAUAUGAAUCUCUCAACCGAGCUCAACAAAGGCUCAAAUACAACUCAAGGCCAGGAUGAAUCACAAAGGUGCACUAAAGGAUAUGCAAAUGGAGAUUUAAUGAACCAAGAAAGGAAUGAGAGCUUAAGCUAAGAACAAGUGAGUAAACAAAUAAAUACAGGUGUUCUCUUACUCAUAAAUGAAGUGAAGCUCUCUAUUUAUAUGUUUCUAACCUCAGGAGCCAAGAAAACCGAAAAGCAGCCUCAACCGAUCGAGUUGGGGGUCGAUCGGUUCACUAGCUGUUAAAGCAUUUAAUGCUUGGUAGGUGACCGUUACCCUUGAUCGGACAUCGACCAGACCUCGAUCAGAGGUCGACCGGGAAGGCAAAUACCUUGACCGGGAAGGAAAGGCUAUUGGAAGAAAGAGAAUGUUUUUUGCACUCCUUGACAGGACCUCAACCGGGAAGAGAGAACCGGUCGAUUGGUAUCCCUAGUUGAGUCGGUUAGCCAGUGCCUCAACCGGUUCACCAUUUUUUACCUGAAAACCUAUCUUUUUUUUGUCUUUUUUCUUCUAACACUUAGGCAAGGUCUUUAGGUAAAUUAGUAUGCCAAUUUUGAAGUGAUUUUCCUAAGGUUCAUUUGAUAAAACUCGGGUUUUGAUGAAACUGUAACUUUAAAGAAUAAACCGAGUUUUUCAAAGAUGCAAGAAAUGAUAUGUAAAUCCUAAGUGCACCCAUGCAUUCAUCUUACAUAUGUUUCCUAUGAUUAAAGGUCUUCCAAAGGUCUUGAUCUUACAUCCAUUAGGUCAUUUAAUGAAUUACAAAUUAAUACCUAAAAUUCUUUAUAAUUCAAACCAAUUAGUAACUUAACCAUGGUUUGUUAUCAUCAAACCUGAUUAGGAGAACCCUUAGGCUAACAAGAAGGAUCAAGAACAAGAAAUAAAGACUCUUUAUGGUGUACCUAUUAUAAGAAGUUGUGACACGUGAAGGAGAGGUGUUGAAAACUCCAUAGUAAGCCCUCAAAUACUCAAAAUACUUCUUAGACAACAAAAAUUAAUCAAGAAGAAGUACAAAGACAUGCACAUUUGACCUUGGCACAAUCAAGAAGUGAAGAAGAAUUCUCUUAAGAGCGACCCAAGUUCAAUAGAGAAAAGAUUGAGAAAAACUGAGAUAUUUUUUAAGGACAUUGAGAAAUCUAUAAGUGGUACUUCUUCCUUGACUUUUUCACAUAAUUCUUAACCCUAUGCAUUUAAUGUGUAUAUCUCAAAAGGAGCAUAGAUAGUAGAUUCUGGUGCUAUGGAACAUAUGACCCAAUCUUCUCAUGGAUUUGUCUCUUAUAGUCUUUGUCCUAGUAAUAAGAAAAUUGCUAUUUGUAAUGACUCACACCUAACCAUGUAGAUAUUGUCAGUUUUAGGCCUAAAAGGUCCUCACGACUUUAAAAUGCGUCUACAUGAUUAAGAGGAGCUCAUAAUUAUAUAAUGCUAGGAACUUUCUUCUUUAUCCUAUGUGUGACAUCACAAACACCCUCCUCUAUGUAGACACAACGUCUUCAUUGUGUCCCAUGGGAUUACUAGGUCAAACAAACUGAGAAAAUAAAAACUAAUCUUAAAUGAGAAAAACACCCAAAAAGGGGGGUGAAUUGGUGAUUACUACCAAAAAGUGUUAUUUUGUAGACCUAAUUAUAAUGGUUUUAAGCACCUUUGAGUAGUAAUCAUAUUCAUUUAAACCAAUUAAUUCAUUAAGGUCCUUAGUAAUUGGUUUUAACCAUUUUGUGGCAAGUUUACAUGUUUUUAUCAGCUUAUGAAUCAAUUCAAGCAUGCCAAAUGAUGGAGGAGCUACUUGGACAAGUUAUGGCAAAGCUUUUGGAAGCUCAAAUUCAUGAAGAACCAAGCUUUGGAGCUACAUAGCCCUUUGCCAAAGUCGUUCAAAGUUUGCAAAGUGAAGCAAAGAGGAAAAGCAAGCAAAGAGGAAAACAGAGGACAGCAGCUGCAGUCUUAUUUCGCACUUUUGGAGCACUUCCCGAAGUCCAUUUUUUACAUACUAUAUACCAUUUCAAAGAUCUGGAAGUCAAGAAUCCAACGCUUCAAACCGUGUACGAUUUGGAGUUGAAAUGAGGAAGAUAUGGCCUUCGGAAGCCAACUGCUCCAGGUUAUGCGAAAAUUUCGCAUUCCACAAGGUGUUAUGCGAAAUUCGCAUAACAUUCGCAUAACCCAUGCGUGUUGCGAAUUUUGCUCUGUUUUUGCCGACUCCACUUUAGAUAUUUUCCUUUGUAUUUUGUGAUGUAAUUUCCUUUCUUAUCCUUGUAACUAACCAAUCACAAGCUUUUGCUUUUGUAAAGACUAUAUAAGGGGUGGAAAUCACCUCUUGAAGAUAUAGACGCAUAUAUACAGAGACGGAGCCUUGCUCUGUUUUUUCUCUCUUCUCCUGUUCUCCCGUUUCUAUUUUCUUAGUAGCCAAACAGCCUCUAAGGGCUUUUCCUUAGAGGAUGAUUGGCUAAAACUUUUAGUUUCUCAAAGUAUGGAUGUUAUGUGAUGGCUUGGAUGCAAUCCCAUGGAAAUUUCUCGCGCCCGGAAGGUAAGGGNNNNNNNNNNNNNNNNNNNNNNNNNNNNNNNNNNNNNNNNNNNNNNNNNNNNNNNNNNNNNNNNNNNNNNNNNNNNNNNNNNNNNNNNNNNNNNNNNNNNGAACCAUUGAUGAAAUUCACUACCAUCUGUUUUGUCAUUUUAAAGGAUUAAAACUUGAUUUGCUAAAUCCAUACCGGUUCGGGAAGCAAGCAUCACCAUAGUUGCAACCCCAACGCGAGGAGCCUAUCCUGAGAUUUCCAAUUUGCAUAAGAGCCAGAGCAUAGCUAUCCUAUCUUUGAGAAACUUGUUUUUACACCCUUUCAUUUUAGUCUUUAAUGUUAGCUUAGAUUAGUUUAAAUCUUUCUGAAAUAUUUACAUCUUCUUUUAAAGCUAACAUCCAUAAGAAAAUCACCUAUUUUCCUAAUUUGAAUAUCACUUGUGUUUGCGAAAACCCUUCCCAGUGAACGAUCCUAGAACCACUAUGCUAUAGUAGCUUGGCUACUUUAGUAAUAGUAUUUAAGGUAUAAAUUUUGUUGAUACACCUUUAAAGCUAAGCUACCAUGAGUCGCAUCAAUUGGGUUUUUAAAAAUCUUUUUUAACACAACAAAUUCAAGAACAAUAGAGGCAAAUAUAAAGAGAUAGAGUUAGAGAAAUCAAACUUAGAUUUUAUAGUAGUUCGGCACUUCCUUACCUACGUCCACUCUCCUCAAGCUCCUAACCAAGUGAGGGUUCCACUAACUUAAAGCUUCAAUGAUUCGACUCAUGGUAGCUUAGCUUUAAAGGCGUAUCAACAAAAUUUAUACCUUAAAUACUAUUACUAAAGUAGCCAAGCUACUAUAGCAUAGUGGUUCUAGGAUCGUUCACUGAAAAGAGUUUUCGCCAACACAAGUGAGAUUCCAAUUUCGAAAAUAGGUGAUUCUUUNNNNNNNNNNNNNNNNNNNNNNNNNNNNNNNNNNNNNNNNNNNNNNNNNNNNNNNNNNNNNNNNNNNNNNNNNNNNNNNNNNNNNNNNNNNNNNNNNNNNNNNNNNNNNNNNNNNNNNNNNNNNNNNNNNNNNNNNNNNNNNNNNNNNNNNNNNNNNNNNNNNNNNNNNNNNNNNNNNNNNNNNNNNNNNNNNNNNNNNNNNNNNNNNNNNNNNNNNNNNNNNNNNNNNNNNNNNNNNNNNNNNNNNNNNNNNNNNNNNNNNNNNNNNNNNNNNNNNNNNNNNNNNNNNNNNNNNNNNNNNNNNNNNNNNNNNNNNNNNNNNNNNNNNNNNNNNNNNNNNNNNNNNNNNNNNNNNNNNNNNNNNNNNNNNNNNNNNNNNNNNNNNNNNNNNNNNNNNNNNNNNNNNNNNNNNNNNNNNNNNNNNNNNNNNNNNNNNNNNNNNNNNNNNNNNNNNNNNNNNNNNNNNNNNNNNNNNNNNNNNNNNNNNNNNNNNNNNNNNNNNNNNNNNNNNNNNNNNNNNNNNNNNNNNNNNNNNNNNNNNNNNNNNNNNNNNNNNNNNNNNNNNNNNNNNNNNNNNNNNNNNNNNNNNNNNNNNNNNNNNNNNNNNNNNNNNNNNNNNNNNNNNNNNNNNNNAUCACUUGUGUAUGCGAAAACCCUUCUCAGUGAACGAUCCUUAAACCACUAUGCGAUAGAAGCGAGGAAUCUCUAGUAAUCGUAUUUAAGGCAUAAAUAUUGAAUAUACACCUUUUAAGCUAUAGGUUGCGUGACAUGGGAUCAAUUCAGUUUUUAAAUAUCUUUAGUCACCCAUCAAAUUCAAGAUCAAUAGAGGCAAAUAUAAAGAGAUAGAGUUAGAGAAAUCAAACUUAGAUUUUAUAGUAGUUCGGCACUUCCUUACCUACGUCCACUCUCCUCAAGCUCCUAACCAAGUGAGGGUUCCACUAACUUAAAGCUUCAAUGAUUCGACUCAUGGUAGCUUAGCUUUAAAGGCGUAUCAACAAAAUUUAUACCUUAAAUACUAUUACUAAAGUAGCCAAGCUACUAUAGCAUAGUGGUUCUAGGAUCGUUCACUGGGAAGGGUUUUCGCAAACACAAGUGAUAUUCAAAUUAGGAAAAUAAGUGAUUUUCUUAUGGAUGUUAGCUUUAAAAGAAAAUGUAAAUGUUUUAGAAAGAUUUAAACUAAUUUAAGCUAACAUUAAAGACUAAAAUGAAAGGGUGUAAAAACAAGUUUCUCAAAGAUAGGAUAGCUAUGCUCUGGCUCUUAUGCAAAUUGGAAAUCUCAGGAUAGGCUCCUCGCAUUGGGGUUGCAACUAUGGUGAUGCUUGCUUCCCGAACCGGUAUGGAUUUAGCAAAUCAAGUUUUAAUCCUUUAAAAUGGCAAAACAGAUGGUAGUGAAUUUCAUCAAUGGUUAUUCACCUUAGACUUCCUUUGAAUGGCUCGUAAGAGAUAACUAGUAGUCUAAAGCUAAAAGCUUACCAAAUAUUGGCAACUCAAAGUCAUUCCAGGUGAUAAACUCACCUUUCAAUGGCCAUUGAAAUUGGUUCUAAUGGAUUAAUGCAAAACUUGGAAUUGAAAACCUCACCUUCCAAUAGCUCGUAGGAGAUAACUAAUGGAUAGAAAUCCAAAAGCUUAUCAAGUAUUGGCCGUUGGAAGUUGUCAAAAGGAAAUAAAAACCAAACUUUGCAUUAAUGAACCAUUAAUGAAAAACGACUACCUUACCUUCCGGGUGCGAGAAAUUUCCAUGGGAUUGCAUCCAAGCCAUCACAUAACAUCCAUACUUUGAGAAACUAAAAGUUUUAGCCAAUCAUCCUCUGAGGAAAAGCCCUCAGAGGCUGUUUGGCUUCCAAGAAAAUAAAAUAUUAAAGAGAAAAGAGAAAAGAGAGAGCUCUGUAUCUAUUCUCUAAGUGUUAAACGUAAUAUCUAUUCUAUAUGUGUUCCAAGAGGUGAUUUCCACCCCUUAUAUAGUCUUUACAAAAGCAAAAGCUUGUGAUUGGUUAGUGAUUACUACCAAAAAGUGCUAUUUUGUAGACCUAAUUAUAAUGGUUUUAAGCACCUUUGAGUAGUAAUCAUAUUCAUUUAACCCAAUUAAUUCAUUAAGGUCCUUAGUAAUUGGUUUUAACCAUUUUGUGGCAAGUUUACAUGUUUUUAUCAGCUUAUGAAUGAAUUCAAGCAUGCCAAAUGAUGGAGGAGCUACUUGGACAAGUUAUGGAAAAGCUUUUGGAAGCUCAAAUUCAUGAAGAACCAAGCUUUGGAGCUCCAUAGCCCUUUGCCAAAGUCGUUCAAAGUAUGCAAGGAAAGAACAAUGGAGAAGAGGAAAGCAAAGUGAAAAAAUCAGAGGACAGCAGCUGCAGUAUUCUUUCGCACUUUUGGAGCACUUCCCGAAGUUAAUUUUCUACAUACUAUAUUCCAUUUCAAAGCUCUGGAAGUCAAGAAUCCAACGCUUCAAACCGUGCACGAUUUGGAGUUGAAAUGAGGAAGAUAUGGCUUUCGGAAGCCAACUGCUCCAGGUUAUGCGAAAAUUUCGCAUAACACCUUCAAAAUUCGCAUAACCCAUGCGUGUUGCGAAUUUUCCUCUGCUNNNNNNNNNNNNNNNNNNNNNNNNNNNNNNNNNNNNNNNNNNNNNNNNNNNNNNNNNNNNNNNNNNNNNNNNNNNNNNNNNNNNNNNNNNNNNNNNNNNNNNNNNNNNNNNNNNNNNNNNNNNNNNNNNNNNNNNNNNNNNNNNNNNNNNNNNNNNNNNNNNNNNNNNNNNNNNNNNNNNNNNNNNNNNNNNNNNNNNNNNNNNNNNNNNNNNNNNNNNNNNNNNNNCUAUCCAUUAGUUAUCUCCUACGAGCUGUUGGAAGGUGAGGUUUUCAAUUCCAAGUUUUGCAUUAAUCCAUUAGAACCAAUUUCAAUGGCCAUUGAAAGGUGAGUUUAUCACCUGGAAUGACUUUGAGUUGCCAAUAUUUGGUAAGCUUUUAGCUUUAGACUACUAGUUAUCUCUUACGAACCAUUCAAAGGAAGUCUAAGGUGAAUAACCAUUGAUGAAAUUCACUACCAUCUGUUUUGCCAUUUUAAAGGAUUAAAACUUGAUUUGCUAAAUCCAUACCGGUUCGGGAAGCAAGCAUCACCAUAGUUGCAACCCCAACGCGAGGAGCCUAUCCUGAGAUUUCCAAUUUGCAUAAGAGCCAGAGCAUAGCUAUCCUAUCUUUGAGAAACUUGUUUUUACACCCUUUCAUUUUAGUCUUUAAUGUUAGCUUAGAUUAGUUUAAAUCUUUCUGAAAUAUUUACAUCUUCUUUUAAAGCUAACAUCCAUAAGAAAAUCACCUAUUUUCCUAAUUUGAAUAUCACUUGUGUUUGCGAAAACCCUUCCCAGUGAACGAUCCUAGAACCACUAUGCUAUAGUAGCUUGACUACUUUAGUAAUAGUAUUUAAGGUAUAAAUUUUGUUGAUACGCCUUUAAAGCUAAGCUACCAUGAGUCGCAUCAGUUAGUUACAAGGAUAAGAAAUGAAAUUACAUCAAAAAAUACAUCGGAAGAUAUCUAAAGUGGAGUCGGCAAAAACAGAGGAAAAUUCGCACCACGCAUGGGUUGUGCGAAUUUGGAAGGUGUUGUGCGAAAUUUUCGCACAAGCCUGGAGCAGUUGUCUUCCGAAGGCCAUAUCUUCCUCAUUUCAGCUCCAAAUCGUACACAGUUUGAAGUUUUGGAUUCUUGACUUCCUGAUCUUUGAAAUGGUAUAUAGCAUGUAGAAAAUGGACUUCGGGAAGUGCUCCAAAAGUGCGAAAGAAUACUACAGCUGCUGUUCUCUGUUUUCCUCUUCUCCAUUGUUCUUUCCUUGCAUACUUUGAACGACUUUGGCAAAGGGCUAUGGAGCUCCAAAGCUUGGUUCUUCAUGAAUUUUAGCUUCCAAAAGCUUUGCCAUAACUUUUCCAAGUAGUUCCUCCAUCAUUUGGCAUGCUUGAAUUGAUUCAUAAGCUAAUAAAAACAUGUAAACUUGCCACAAAAUGGUUAAAACCAAUUACUAAGGACCUUAAUGAAUUAAUUGGGUUAAAUGAAUAUGAUUACUACUCAAAGGUGCUUAAAACCAUUAUAAUUAGGUCUACAAAAUAGCACUUUUUGGUAGUAAUCAUUCAACCAAACUUCUAAUCACCUUUACACUUGGAUUACAGCUCCAAUGGGCUCUUACACAAUCUCUUCAAGAUUCACUCACUUGAAGGCUUUAACACUUAAUUAACAAGAAUGAACUUCUCUCAACCUAGCUCAAUAAUAGCUCAAUAAUAGCUCAAAUACAAAUCAAAGGCUAGGAUGAAUCACAAAGGUGCACAAAAGGAUAUGCAAGUGAAGAUUUAAUGCACCAAGAAAGAAAUGACAGCUUUGAAGACAAGAACAAGUGGGUAGACAAAUAAAUGCAAGUGUUCUCUAUCUUAUUAAUGAAGUGGAGCUCUCUAUUUAAAGGUUUCUAACCUCGGGAGCCAAGAAAAUCAAAAAACAACCUCAACCAGUUGAGUCGGGGGUCGACCAGUUCACUAGCCAUUAGAGCAUUUAAUGUUUUGGCAGGUUACCGUUGCUUCAACCAAACUUCAAUCAGACCUCGACUGGAGGUCGACCGGGAAAGGAAGGCUACUGGAAGAGAGAGUGUGUUUUUGCACUCCUUGAUCGGACCUCAACUGGGCAAAAGGAACUUGUCGACCGGUACCCUAGUCAAUUGAGCCGGUUGGCCCAGUGUCUCGACCGAUUCAACAUUUUAGCACCAAAAACCUUUUUUUUUUUUUUUUUUGUUAUUUUAUCAUCUAACUCUUGGACAAAGUCUUUAGGUAAAUUAAUAUGCCAAUUUUGAAACAUUUUCCUUAAGGUUCAUUUGAUAAAACUUGGGUUUUAAUGAAAUUGUAACUUUAAAGAAUAAACCGAGUUUUCCAAAAAUGCAUGAAAUGAUCUGUAAAACCUAAGUGCACCCAUGCAUUCAUCUUACAUUUGUUUUCUAUUAUUAAAGGUCUUCCAAGUGUCUUGAUUUUGUAUCCAUUAGGUGCUUUGAUGAAUUUCCAAAUUAAUACCUGAGAUUCUUUACGAUUCAAACCAAUUAGUAACUUAACCAUGGUUUGUUAUCAUCAAAACCUGAUUAGUAGAACCCUUGGCUAACAAUCUCCCAUUUUUUUAUGAUGACAAACCUUGGUUAUCUAGGAGAAAAAGAAUCUCCCCCUCAAAUCAAUCAUGGAUCAAUCAAUCAAAAUUUAUGAAGUUAAAACCAAAAUAAUCAAGACAUGCUAGAGAGAAUGAAUUGACAAUAAGAAAAUAGUAUAAGUCAUGAAGCAUAUCAUAUAUAAGUCAAAUGUACACGAAACAUAUAAGCCUAUCACAUAUACGAUCCAAACAAGUGAUAUGACAAUGAUAUGCAUGUAAGUCUCCUAGAUCCUAAAUAUCUCCCUUUUUUGGCAACAUAAAAAAGAAACAAAUGGGGUCUCUAUGCAAUCAAGGCUAAGGAGAUGGAAGUGGAAACACGGAGCGUAGAUAAGCCAUCAUCUACUCAUGUUGACUCUCCAGGCUACCCUCAAUGCACUCAAUCCUCUACUGGAAAUGCUCAAAUGCAGCCUAAUAUUGAUCCAUGCGAGCCUCGAGACUCUCAAACCAUAAGGUGAAGCCAUCCUUCUAUUGAUCCAUGCGAUCCUCCAUAGGCUCAAAUCUCUGUUGCAGAUACUCAAUCUGAGAGGUGAAUCCAGUCUGAUACUGAUCCAUGCGAUUCUCCAUGGAGUAGAACCGAGUAUCACUUACUACAGCAAGCCCCUCCAUGUGAGUGCCUAGAGAGCUAAUUUGAGCAGAUUAGCUUUGAAUAUAAAAAUAUAUUCACCUAUAAUAAUUAAUAAUCUAAUAAAUAAAUACUAACAUUUUAAAUAAUAUUGAUUUCAAAUAUAUAUAAUAUUUUAUUAUGUUUUGUAUUCGUAAUAUUUUUAUAUUUAGAAUAUUUACAGUUUUCAUAUCAUAGAUCUCAUAUUUACAGUUUUCAUAUCAUAGAUCUCAUUUUCUACAUUUAUUUUAUUUUUAUUUUUAUUUUUAUUUUUUUAUAUAAUAUUAAACAUGAAUUAAAAAUAAAUAAAAAACUAUCCACGUGUUUAAAACUAAAUCUUUUGGCUUUUAAAAGGUAAACACGGAAAAAUAGUAUAAAAAAUAUUAACUUACCUUUAAUUUCAUUCAAUAAAAAAUUAGUAAUGAUCAUUCUUUAAGAGUAUUUAAUUUUAAAAGUAAUAUUUGAAGGUAUGUAAAAUUAAAAUUUUAAAAGUGUUUAUAUUAAAUUUUUGAAUAAAUUCACAAUUUCCAUCAUAAUACAUUGAUAUUUACAAAUAACCAAAAAAGAAAACUAAUGUUUUUAUUAAAUAUGUAAUUUAUAUAUAUAUAUAUAUAUAAUUAAAAAUUUAAACCAUUAAAAUUGUCUUUAUUUUUCAUGUAUAAUUUUUUUUUUAAAGUAUAUUAUAAUAGACCCCUCUUGUGGACCAAGGGGUAUUGUUGGCCACCCGGGAGAACUGGGCAUUUUUUUGGGGGGGAUGACCUCCAUGGGAGCAAGCCACUGAGACUUGUGGCAAGGACAUGACCACCUUGCCAUAGUGGUGGUUGAGGAUGGAGACCUUUUUGUUGAAGGAUGAGCAGUGGAAUGAGUAAAAUCUUAUAGGAAAAGAAAGAGGCAAGAUAGAAAAAAAAAACAGGGGAAUGAGGUUUUCAGUAGGUAGAGCUUUUUGGGAGAAGGUGAGGGAGGAGGAUCGAAUAAGCAGGGGAAAGUUUUUGCUGAGUUGGGAGAAGCUAUGCAAUCAAGUUCUUGAAACCGAGCAAUCCUUGUUCGAGUUGGAGUUAUUCGGGUGCAGUCACUGCAUGCUCUGUUGUCCCAUUUUUGCACCAUUUUGCUCUAUAUCUUGUUGAUGUUUGGGUUUGUUUCCGAUGAUUGGGAGUGGACAUUAUAAAUCAUACAUAUCUAAGAUCAUUUGCAUACACUUUUUGUUUGGUUUUUCGGUUUUUAUAGAAUCUGAAAUCAUACUCUGUUUCUUUGCUUUGUUUUGGUUUAUCUGUAAUAUGCCUGAAACCAUUUGUUUUUCUUUUUUUCUAUUUAUAUUUAGUGUUUAUUUUGGUCACUCACAAUCAGUUUACAAGCUCAUUGACAAACUAUGAAAUGGUGCAAGGUUUAAUGGUCUUUGGUUUGUUUAUGUAUGCUUUGUUUUGGUCUUUGUUGUGUUUGGGGGAGUAUCCCAGCCAUCUUGGUUGGGAUGUUCCUAAGAAAACCCCGUGUAUACCACUUUUCACACAGACGAAAACUCUUGGAUGCUUGUGUUGCCAUGUAACCCACACACCAAGGCCUUCACAUCUUCCCCUCGCGAGUUCCUUUUUAGAUUUGUUGGAAUUCAGUGAUGGGCAUGGUGAAGAGGAAGUCAUUCAGUAGUUAUAAAAGGAUAAUGCAAGCCAUUUCAACAUCAUUAGUGCAAUCUAGAAAGGUGGUAACAUGGGAAAGAGGCAUAUCUGGUCAACUGGGUCACGAGGAAUGGGUGAGAGAAAGAUAGCUGCAGGAAGGGAGGUAGCAACUCAUAAAUGGUGGAAAGGGAGAGCAAAUGGUGGGGGUUGUGAUUUUGUGAUUCUGUAGGAAAGGAGAGCACAAAUACAAAGAGAGUGUAGAGAGGAGGCACAGGCACAGGUAAAGGCAAAAGCAUGGAGAUGGUUCAGAUGCAGAGAAGGUUUGUGGAGUAUGCAACAUCCUUACUUCAUGAGGGGUUCUUAGAUGGUCAGUUCACACAGCUUUAGCAACUACAAGAUGAGAGCAACCCUGAUUUUGUGGUUGAAGUGGUGUCUCUCUUCUUUUAGGAUUCUGAUAAGCUUCUCAAUGAUCUACCCAUAGCCCUAGAUCAGCAAAAUGUAGAUUUUAAGAGGGUUGAUUCCCAUGUUCAUCAGUUGAAGGGCAGCAGCUCUAGCAUAGGACCACAGAGAGUAAAAAAUGUUUGUAUUGCCUUUCGCAACUACUGUGAGGAACAGAACACUGACGCGUGCUUGAGCUGCCUACAGCAAGUGAAACAAGAGUACUCCCUUAUUAAGAGUACGCUUGAAACUCUCUUCAGGUUGGAGCAACAAAUUUUGAUAGCUAGUGGGUCGAUACUGAUAGGUGGUCCCAGUCAAAGCUAUAAAGAAAAGAAGAAAAAAAAAGGAUCUUUAAAAUAAUAUUUUGCUUAAGGUGAGAAUGAACCUUGUGAUUUAUUAUCUGGCGUCCCCUUGUUCUCCAUGGCUAAAAUGAUUAAAUACAUAAAGGACUCAACUGCUCCACUAAACAAAAGGAGUGAACGGCUAGUGGACAAUAAAAUAGCCAACAAUGGUGGAAUUGUUCUUUCCACUUAUUGACCAAUUCCUAUGCAAACAAAAUAACAUAAUAACAACUUAUUGACCAUUGACCGAUUCCUAUGUUGCAAACAAAAUAACAUCAUAAUCUACCAUCCCAUGGUCCCAUGCUCAACUUCUGUACCUUGGAUUCUUGAUAGGCACUCGAGUUGAUCUUCUUAACUUAUGAUUGCCCCCUUCUUUCAGUCGAACCUUGUCCUCAAGGUUCAAGUUAAUAUACUUGUUGCGCAACUCCUAGGUAUUUUCCCACGUAGCAUCUUCUUUUGGAAGCUUUUUCCACUGGACAAGGCUUUUUUCAACAAAACUUGACCCUUUAUUAACCCACCUAGUAUCCAAAAUAGCUUCGGGUUCCAUAAUAAUCUCACCAUCAUUAGUUAGGGGCGGCAAAGUGUUUGUGGCCUUAGUCUCCUCUACCUGCCUUUUAAGCAGUGAAACAUGAAAAACAGGGUGAAUUCGGGAACCUUUAGGCAACUUGAGUUUGUAAGCUACCUUUCCAACAUUUUCUUCAAUGUGGUAUGGGCCAUAAAAGCGACUGGCCAACUUUUGAUGCGCCUUCCUAUAGACAGUUUGCCGACAAUAAGGAUGGAGUUUAAGGAAGACCAAAUCCCCCACUUGGAAUUCCAUGUCCCUUCUUUUUUAAUCUGCCACUUGUUUCAUUCGAUUAACUGCUGCAUGUAAAUUGAUCUUGAGCUAUUGUAAAAUGGCAUUUCGAGAUACCAAUGUCUGGUCCACCUCAUUCAUAGAAGAUGCUCCAACUUGAUAGUUCAGAAUACUUGGUGGUGGUCUUCCAUAGAGAGCUUGAAAAUGGGUCAUCCCAAUAGAGGAGUGGUAUGUAGUGUUGUACCAAAAUUCAGCCCAUGGAAGAAAAGCACUCCAUUUUCAAGGUUGUUGAGAAACAAAACAGUGAAGAUAUUGCUCAACGCACCUGUUAACUACCUCAGAUUGACCGUCGAUUUAGGGAUGAUAGGCAGAGCUCAUGUGCAGCUUAGUACCCAACAUUUUGAAGAAUUCACACCAAAAGUGACUUAUGAAAAUGGGAUCUCUGUCACUAAUAAUUGAUUUUGGCAAGCCAUGAAGCUUGACAAUCCCUUCCACAAAUUUUUUAGCUACCAUUUUUGCCGUGUAAGGAUGUGACAAAGCUAAAAAAUGAGUUGAUUUACUCAGGCAGUCCACUACCAUAAAAAUAGUGCUUUUUCCAUUAGAUGGUGGUAAUCCCUCAAUAAAAUCCAUGGUGAUGUUGUCCUAAACUUGGAAAAGAAUGGGCAAUGGUUGAAGAAGACCAGCUAGAGAUAAAGUUUCUGUUUUAUUCUUUUGGAAAACAGUGCAUGAGGUUACAUAUUGUUGAAUCACCUUAUGCAUUGAUGGCCAAUAGAAUUGUUGUGUCAAUCGCUUGUAUGUUCUCAAUACCCCAGAAUGUCUUUCAUAUGGUGAGUCAUGGAAUUCCUGCAAUAACUGAUUGAAAAGUUGGGAAUUAGGAGGAAUUACUACACGAUUUUUGUAACAUACCAAACCAUUCUGCCACUUAUAGGGUGCUCCAGGAUUUGCAGUGGCAAGCUUGCCAAUUCGGACCAUGUAGGGAUGCUUGUUGGCUUCCUUCUUGAUUGCGUUCCACAAAGAUGUUAGAGAGAUAAAAAGAGUAUUAAGGUUGGGGUUGCCUAUUACUCUUGAUAAAGCAUCAGCAACAAAAUUCUCUCUUUCCGGUUUGUAAGUGAUCUCAUAGUCAUACCCCCCAGCAAUUUGGAUACCCACUUUUGUUGUUCUUGCGUCACUAUGCGUUGCUCCAUUAAAUACUUGAGGUUGUGUUGGUCAAUUUGGAUGUAGAAUUUUUAGCAUAAUAAGUAAGGCCACCAAGUCCGAAUAGCUUGAACAAUGGCAAGCAUUUCUUUGGCAUAGGUAGACCAUGAUUGCUUAGUGAUUCCCAAGGCUCGACUCAUGAAUGCUAUGGGUCUCCCUUGUUAAGUUAGCACUGCUCCAAUGCCAGCACCUGAAGCAUCAGAUUCAAUGACAAAUGGUUCAUUAAAAUUAGGCAUAGUAAGGGUAGGAGUAGAAGUCAUUGUUUGUUUCAAAGCCUUGAAUGCAUCCUUUGCUUCUUCUGUCCAUCUAAAUUGCCCAUUUUUUAAGAGGUUGGUGAGUGGCCGAGCUAUAAUUCCAUAAUUGCGUACGAACUUUCUGUAAUAACCUAUAAGGCCUAAGAAUCCUCGCAAGUCAGAAACAUUAGUGGGUCUAGGCCAAUUAAGCAUAGCCUUAAUUUUCCCUUGGUCCACCUUGACACUUUGUGGAGUUACAACGUAACCCAAAUAUUCAACUUCUUGCUGGCCGAAAGCACACUUGCCAAGCUUGAUGAAAAAUUUGUGAUGCCUUAAUAUUUCAAAAGCCUUUUUAACAUGUUCAAUAUGCAUGAUCCAAUUGGGGUUUUAAAUUAGAAUAUCAUAAAAAAAAAAAAUAACAAAUUUUAGAAGAUAUGGCCGAAAUAUUGAAUUCAUAGUAGCCGGAAAAGUUGAAGGAGCAUUACACAAGCCAAAAGGCAUAACCACAUAUUCAUAAGGACCAUUGUGUGUACGAAAGGCAUUUUUGUGAAUGUCUAAUGGGUGUACCCAUACCUGGUGAUAACCUGAUCAGAGAUCAAGGUUAGUAAAAAAAGGUUACCCCAUAUAGUUCGUCAGGCAUAUCAUCAACGGUUGGAAUAAGAAAUCUAUCCUUGAUGGUUAUAGCAUUAAGAGCUCUAUACUCAAUACAAAAAUGCCAAGUUCCAUCUUUUUUUUUUACUAACAGAACAGGUGAAGAGAAUGGACUUGUGUUAGACCUUAUUAGCCCCAAUUUUAACAUGUCAUGAACUUGUUUUUCUAUUUCAGCUUUUUGAAAGUAGGCAUACCUAUAUGACCGGACAUUAAUUGGCUCAGUCCCCUAUAUGAGAUUGAUGUGGUGAUCUAUCUCCCUUUCUAGUGGAAGCUUCUUUGGUUCCUGAUAAAUGUCAUCCAAUUCUUGUAACAACUGUUGCAUUUCUAGUUGAAUUCUUUGAGGCACUUCUUCCAUGGUUGCAUGUAAACAGACGGCGAAUAUGGAGUUUCCCUGCUUUAUCUCUUUUGAAAUUGUUGUGAAUUUCGUAGGCUGAAUUGGUUGGUUGUCAAUUCUUUCUAGUUGAUGACGCUGGUCCUUCCACGAAAACUCUAUUGUCAUUAUUUUCUAAUCACAAACCACCAUGCCCAAUUGUUCAAGCCAGUAGACUCCUAACACCAUAUCCAACCCAAUCAGCGGUAAUGAAUAAAGAGUUAAGGUAGAUGGAAUACCUUGCAAUAGGACUGAAACAUUUUCAAAUCUCUCUUGGCACUUUAGAGGAUCACCAUUAGCCACUUUCACGUUAAAGGGUUCAAUUGGCACCAUCGGUAAUUGCAAUAGUUCAGCUAUCCUCUCAUUGAUGAAAUUGUGGGUUAACCCACUAUCAAUAAGAACAAUCAAUUCAUGGGGUCCCACUUUAGCCGAGACUCGCAUGGUUCUGGCUGUUGACCACCCAGUGAGAGCAUGGAGUGAAAUUUCAGGUUCUCCUUGAAGGUGGGUGUGAGCUUCCUCUUCGUCAUAGUUUUCUUCAAGCAAGAGCAGUUGUAGUCCUUUGCAUUUGUGCCCUGGUGCAAAUUUCUCAUCGCAAUUAAAACAAAGGCCUUGAGCACGCCUCCUCUGCAUCUCAACCCAAGUGAGUCAUUUUAUUGGUGAAAGGGUCUUCAUUUUCAUUGAAGAAGAGCCAAUAGUGGUCCUACUAAAUGGACGUGUAGUCGUCUCAUGAUAGUUCAACUACUCAUCUCGCAUCCUAGCCAAACUGAUGGCUUCCUUCGAGGAUUUUGGCUUAAACAUCCGAAUCCCAUCUGCUAUUUCAGUUUUAAGACCUCCCAUAAAUGUGCCAACCAAUGCCUUUUGAGUUCACCCCUGAACUCUAUUCCCCAAUCUCUUAAAUUCCCUUUGGUACUCACGUAAGGAUCCCGUUUGUCUUAUUUUUUAUAAAGACUCGUCAAAGUCUUCACAAUCUGUUGGACCAAAGUGAGACCAUAAUUCCUUUACAAAAAUGUCCCACGUCACCUCUUUC